GACGAACGCUGGCGGCGUGCUUAACACAUGCAAGUCGAACGGCAAGGCCCUGCUUUUGUGGGGUGCUCGAGUGGCGAACGGGUGAGUAACACGUGAGUAACCUGCCCUUGACUUUGGGAUAACUUCAGGAGGCUGGGGCUAAUACCGGAUAGGAGCUCAUGCUGCAUGGUGGGGGUUGGAAAGUUUCGGCGGGUGGGGAUGGACUCGCGGCUUAUCAGCUUGUUGGUUGGGUAGUGGCAUACCAAGGAUGUGACGGGUAGCCGGCCUGGGAGGGUGACCGGCCACAUUGGGACUGAGAUACGGCCCAGACUCCUACGGGAGGCAGCAGUGGGGAAUAUUGCACAAUGGGCGGAAGCCUGAUGCAGCAACGCCGCGUGCGGGAUGACGGCCUUCGGGUUGUAAACCGCUUUCGCCUGUGACGAAGCGUGAGUGACGGUAAUGGGUAAAGAAGCACCGGCUAACUACGUG
rnacentral:rRNA from 1 species